AAAUUGAAGAGUUUGAUCAUGGCUCAGAUUGAACGCUGGCGGCAGGCCUAACACAUGCAAGUCGAACGGUAACAGGAAGCAGCUUGCUGC
rnacentral:rRNA from 19 species